rnacentral:tRNA from 1 species
GGCCCGCUGUCGGAAGCGGUGCCGGGUGCGGGCUACCGGCCCGUGGGGGUGUUCCGGGUUCGGGGGCCCGGCGGGGUCC